rnacentral:lncRNA from 1 species
CAUCUCUAAUAGACCUUUCGAUUUUUUUGAGAGCACACCUGAGAGAUCAGAUGAGCUGCCCAAUGGUCACAACACAGAACCGAUUAAGUAAAUGAUGACAAGGUACAUGUCUGUAUGUCUAUGUGUAUAGUAUAAAAUACAUAUUUGUGUAAGUACAAUGUUACUUAUUGAAAGUUUGUGUAGAUGUCAAAACGGAAAUAUAAGAAAUACCUGGAGCCUGGCAAUGUGUCCAUCAUACCAGCCAAAACCAGACAAAGGCUUGAGAAGAUGGCUGGUUUUGAGGUGGAAAGCAUUAAGGAGACAAAUUUGGACCUGUUGGUUACUGACCAGAGUUGUUCAGCUACAGAUGACUCCUUUUCAGAUAUAAAUGAGGUUUCUUCAGAUUCAGAGGAGGAAGAUCAAUUAAGGAUAAACAACCACAAUGUUGACCACAGCUCAAUGGACUCUGGACAGAUCCACAAAGACACAGACAAGACCCCCUGUCACAUGUCUGAUUCAGAGGAGGAAGAUGAAUCGAUGAUAAGCAACCACAAUGCUGACAACAGCUCAAUAGACCCAGAGCAGAUCAACACAGACACAGACAAGACCCCUUCUAACAUGUCUGAUUCAGAGGUAUUUUAUUCACUUGUUGCAGCUGGCAUAAACUUAUCUGGGCAGUUAAAAAAGGGCUAAAUCACUACA